rnacentral:rRNA from 1 species
GAAAUUCGCCUUCAUGAAGCUGGAAUUGCUAGUAAUGGCAGGUCAGCAUACUGCCGUGAAUACGUUCCCGGGCCUUGUACACACCGCCCGUCACACCAUGAGAGUUGGAAAUACCCGAAGCCUGUGAGCUAACUUAAAGAGGCAGCAGUCGAAGGUAGAGCCAAUGAUUGGGGUGAAGUCGUAACAAGGUACC